rnacentral:rRNA from 1 species
AUACGGGGGGGGCAAGCGUUGUUCGGAAUUACUGGGCGUAAAGGGCGCGCAGGCGGCCCGGCAAGUCCUACGUGAAAUCCCACAGCUCAACUGUGGAACUGCGUGGGAAACUGCGAGGCUUGAGUCCGGGAGAGGAGAGUGGAAUUCCCAGUGUAGCGGUGAAAUGCGUAGAUAUUGGGAGGAACACCGGUGGCGAAGGCGGCUCUCUGGACCGGUACUGACGCUGAGGCGCGAAAGCUAGGGGAGCAAACGGGAUUAGAAACCCCAGUAGUCC